rnacentral:rRNA from 1 species
GACGUGAGGGCGCGAGCGUUGUCCGGAUUUAUUGGGCGUAAAGAGCUCGUAGGCGGCUUGUUGCGUCGGGCUGUGAAAUCCCGUGGCUUAACUGCGGGUCUGCAGCCGGAUACGGGCAGGCUGGAGUUCGGUAGGGGAGACUGGAAUUCCUGGUGUAGCGGUGAAAUGCGCAGAUAUCAGGAGGAACACCGGGUGGCGAAGGCGGGUCUCUGGGCCGAUACUGACGCUGGAGGAGCGAAAGCGUGGGGAGCGAACAGG